UAUGCCCCGGCCCCGCCAUGGAGCCCUGUUUUCACGCCCGUCAUCGCGGCACGCCCAAAUCCAAUCCCCCCAGAUCUCCUUUAUCCUUUCCUUCUGCGCCACCCAACCCCUCUGCUUUCGAGGCCUCCGACCACCAUCCCUCCAUGGCUCCCCGCCCAGUGCCUUCCAAGGUCACCCGAGUGCCUCAAUCUGCUCUCUAUGAUGUGGAUCUGUACCCAUUGGCCACCACCAUCCAUGGCUCCUUCGGUAUUGUGACACGACGUUUCCCAUCUCCGUUCUAGACAUCACCAUGUGACACCAACGCCUGGCCUGCUCCUCCACCACGGCCCAGCUCGGACCACGCCGCUAUCGACGCCACCGUUGCGAAUCCACCCCAACUCGAGCAGUUCACCGGCGUCAUGGAGGAAGCACCGAGCAGCCGCAUUGCAAAUAUGAGGAACAUCAUCAGUGCAAGAAGUCCAGAUUCACUCGACGGCGAGAAAUAGUCUCAUAUUUUUGUUCCAAAUAGUAUGUACCACUCCCCACUUUGAUACUUAUGAACACCCAUCUGAGAUCUCCAUUUCCUUGUUACAGUUCAUCCAGAUCAGUAGUACGAUUUAAGGUUCAUGAUCCAGCUAUAAGAGAGGUGUAAUAUCCUCUGCCCUUGACAUGGUAUGGUACAUACUGUUAUUUUCCUAGCUGUCUCCAAAUUCAUGUAUUGAUUAAUUUCGAUUCAAGUUUUCUAUCUUGCAAGAUCA